AUCACCUGGGUACCUUGUUAAAAUGCAAAUUCUGAUUCAGUAGGUCUGGUGUGGGGCCUGAGAUUCUGCAUUUUUGACAAGCACCCAGGCGAUGCUGA
rnacentral:pre_miRNA from 1 species